CCUACGGGAGGCUGCAGUGAGGAAUAUUGGUCAAUGGCCGUAAGCCUGAACCAGCCAAGUCGCGUGAAGGAAGAAGGCUCUAUGGUUUGUAAACUUCUUUUAUCGGGGAGUAAAGGUAUCCACGUGUGGAUCUUUGCAUGUACCCUAUGAAUAAGCAUCGGCUAACUCCGUUCCAGCAGCCGCGGUAAUACGGAGGAUGCGAGCGUUAUCCGGAUUUAUUGGGUUUAAAGGGUGCGUAGGCGGGCGGAUCAGUUAGAGGUGAAAUCCCGCGGCUCAACUUCGGAAUUGCCUCUGAUACUGUGAGGAUAGAGAGUAGGUGCGGUAGGCGGAAUGUAUGGUGUAGCGGUGAAAUGCUUAGAGAUCAUACAGAACACCGAUUGCGAAGGCAGCUUACCAAGCUACGUCUGACGUUGAGGCACGAAAGCGUGGGGAGCAAACAGGAUUAGAUACCCCAGUAGUC
rnacentral:rRNA from 1 species